rnacentral:lncRNA from 1 species
GUUAUAAAGGUCUAUAGGGAUAGAUCUAAAAGGAUGCUAGGUUUGUCUCAGUCUAAAUACAUAGAUCAUAUGUUGAACAGAUUCAAUAUGAAUGGGUGUAAAAGAGUUUUACUUACCUAUAAAGAUUAUUAAAAAACUAUAAAAAUAUUCUCAAGUACUUGAGAAGAAUUAGAAAUAUUUUUACUCUAUAUGAUGGAGCAG